rnacentral:rRNA from 1 species
GGACCCGCACAAGCGGUGGAUGAUGUGGUUUAAUUCGAUGCAACGCGAAAAACCUUACCCACCUUUGACAUGUACGGAAGUUGCCAGAGAUGGCUUCGUGCUCGAAAGAGAGCCGUAACACAGGUGCUGCAUGGCUGUCGUCAGCUCGUGUCGUGAGAUGUUGGGUUAAGUCCCGCAACGAGCGCAACCCUUGUCAUUAGUUGCUACGAAAGGGCACUCUAAUGAGACUGCCGGUGACAAACCGGAGGAAGGUGGGGAUGACGUCAAGUCCUCAUGGCCCUUAUAGGUGGGGCUACACACGUCAUACAAUGGCUGGUACAAAGGGUAGCCAACCCGCGAGGGGGAGCCAAUCCCAUAAAGCCAGUCGUAGUCCGGAUCGCAGUCUGCAACUCGACUGCGUGAAGUCGGAAUCGCUAGUAAUCGUGGAUCAGCAUGUCACGGUGAAUACGUUCCCGGGUCUUGUACACACCGCCCGUCACACCAUGGGAGCGGGUUCUGCCAGAAGUAGUUAGCCUAACCGCAAGGAGGGCGAUUACCACGGCAGGGUUCGUGACUGGGGUGAAGUCGUAACAAGGUAGCCGUAUCGGAAGGUGCGGCU